rnacentral:rRNA from 1 species
UACGAAGGGGGCUAGCGUUGUUCGGAAUCACUGGGCGUAAAGCGCACGUAGGCGGAUCUUUAAGUCAGAGGUGAAAUCCCAAGGCUCAACCUUGGAACUGCCUUUGAUACUGGGGAUCUUGAGUCCGGGAGAGGUGAGUGGAACUGCGAGUGUAGAGGUGAAAUUCGUAGAUAUUCGCAAGAACACCAGUGGCGAAGGCGGCUCACUGGACUGGUGAUUGACGUGAGGUGCGAAAGCGUGGGGAGCAAACAGG